GACCGCCGUAGCUCAGUUGGAAGAGCAUUGGGCUAGUAUUCCAAAGGUCGUAGGUUCGAAUCCCACCGUGGCCG